CCUACGGGUGCAGCAGUGGGGAAUAUUGGACAAUGGGCGAAAGCCUGAUCCAGCCAUGCCGCGUGUGUGAAGAAGGGCUUCGGGGUGUAAAGCACUUUCAGUGGGGAAGAAAGCCUUGGGGCUAAUACCCUCGAGGAAGGACAUCACCCACAGAAGAAGCACCGGCUAACUCCGUGCCAGCAGCCGCGGUAAUACGGAGGGUGCGAGCGUUAAUCGGAAUUACUGGGCGUAAAGCGCGCGUAGGCGGUCUGAUAAGCCGGUUGUGAAAGCCCCGGGCUCAACCUGGGAACGGCAUCCGGAACUGUCAGGCUAGAGUGCAGGAGAGGAAGGUAGAAUUCCCGGUGUAGCGGUGAAAUGCGUAGAGAUCGGGAGGAAUACCAGUGGCGAAGGCGGCCUUCUGGACUGACACUGACGCUGAGGUGCGAAAGCGUGGGUAGCAAACAGGAUUAGAUACCCGAGUAGUC
rnacentral:rRNA from 1 species